rnacentral:rRNA from 1 species
UACGUAGGGUGCGAGCGUUAAUCGGAAUUACUGGGCGUAAAGCGUGCGCAGGCGGUUUUGUAAGUCUGUCGUGAAAUCCCCGGGCUCAACCUGGGAAUGGCGAUGGAUACUGGCGAGCUAGAGUGUGUCAGAGGAUGGUGGAAUUCCCGGUGUAGCGGUGAAAUGCGUAGAGAUCGGGAGGAACAUCAGUGGCGAAGGCGGCCAUCUGGGACAACACUGACGCUGAAGCACGAAAGCGUGGGGAGCGAACAGG